AGGCUUAUAACAUCGGGUUGCGGU
rnacentral:siRNA from 1 species